rnacentral:rRNA from 1 species
GACGAACGCUGGCGGCGUGCUUAACACAUGCCAGUCGUACGGUAAGGCCCUUUCGGGGGUACACGGGUGGCGAACGGGUGAGUAACACGUGAGUAACCUGCCCACAACUUUGGGAUAACGCUAGGAAACUGGUGCUAAUACUGGAUAUGUGCUCCUGCUGCAUGGUGGGGGUUGGAAAGCUCCGGCGGUUGUGGAUGGACUCGCGGCCUAUCAGCUUGUUGGUGGGGUAGUGGCCUACCAAGGCGGCGACGGGUAGCCGGCCUGAGAGGGUGACCGGCCACAUUGGGACUGAGAUACGGCCCAGACUCCUACGGGAGGCAGCAGUGGGGAAUAUUGCACAAUGGGCGCAAGCCUGAUGCAGCAACGCCGCGUGCGGGAUGACGGCCUUCGGGUUGUAAACCGCUUUCAGCAGGGACGAAGCUUUUUGUGACGGUACCUGCAGAAGAAGCACCGGCUAACUACGUG